rnacentral:rRNA from 1 species
ACCCCGUGAACCUUUACUAUAGCUUGACACUGAACAUUGAGCCUUGAUGUGUAGGAUAGGUGGGAGGCUUUGAAGCGUGGACGCCAGUCUGCGUGGAGCCAACCUUGAAAUACCACCCUUUAAUGUUUGAUGUUCUAACGUUGGCCCCUGACCGGGGUUGCGGACAGUGUCUGGUGGGUAGUUUGACUGGGGCGGUCUCCUCCCAAAGCGUAACGGAGGAGCACGAAGGUUAGCUAAUCCUGGUCGGACAUCAGGAGGUUAGUGCAAUGGCAUAAGCUAGCUUGACUGCGAGCGUGACGGCGCGAGCAGGUGCGAAAGCAGGUCAUAGUGAUCCGGUGGUUCUGAAUGGAAGGGCCAUCGCUCAACGGAUAAAAGGUACUCCGGGGAUAACAGGCUGAUACCGCCCAAGAGUUCAUAUCGACGGCGGUGUUUGGCACCUCGAUGUCGGCUCAUCACAUCCUGGGGCUGAAGUAGGUCCCAAGGGUAUGGCUGUUCGCCAUUUAAAGUGGUACGCGAGCUGGGUUUAGAACGUCGUGAGACAGUUCGGUCCCUAUCUGCCGUGGGCGCUGGAGAAUUGAGGGGGGCUGCUCCUAGUACGAGAGGACCGGAGUGGACGCAUCACUGGUGUUCGGGUUGUCAUGCCAAUGGCACUGCCCGGUAGCUAAAUGCGGAAGAGAUAAGUGCUGAAAGCAUCUAAGCACGAAACUUGCCCCG